CGAGCCGGGCGGACGGCCGCGUGAAGACCCUCAGGGGCCUUCCCGAGGAACGUCCGGGCUCCACAGGGCAGGGUGAUGGCUAACGGCCACCCGGGGUGACCCGCGGGAAAGUGCCACAGAAAACAAACCGCCGGGGACUUCGGUCCUCGGUAAGGGUGAAACGGCGGUGUAAGAGACCACCAGUGCCCAGGGCGACCUGAGCAGCUAGGUAAACCCCACCCGGAGCAAGGUCAAAAGGGAGCACCCCGGUGCUCCUGCGCGGACGAUCGAGGGCUGCCCGCCCGAGUCCGUGGGUAGACCGCACGAGACCGGCGGCAACGCCGGUCCUAGAUGGAUGGCCGUCUCCCCGACCGCCGCGAGGCGGUUGGGUGACAGAACCCGGCGUAUAGCCCGACUCGUCUG
rnacentral:RNase_P_RNA from 1 species